rnacentral:rRNA from 1 species
GAUGAACGCUGGCGGCGUGCCUAAUACAUGCAAGUCGAGCGAACGGACGAGAGGCUUGCUUCUCUGAUGUUAGCGGCGGACGGGUGAGUAACACGUGGAUAACCUACCUAUAAGACUGGGAUAACUUCGGGAAACCGGAGCUAAUACCGGAUGAUAUUUUGAACCGCAUGGUUCAAAAGUGAAAGACGGUCUUGCUGUCACUUAUAGAUGGAUCCGCGCUGCAUUAGCUAGUUGGUAAGGUAACGGCUUACCAAGGCAACGAUGCAUAGCCGACCUGAGAGGGUGAUCGGCCACACUGGAACUGAGACACGGUCCAGACUCCUACGGGAGGCAGCAGUAGGGAAUCUUCCGCAAUGGGCGAAAGCCCGACGGAGCAACGCCGCGUGAGUGAUGAAGGUCUUCGGAUCGUAAAACUCUGUUAUUAGGGAAGAACAUAUGUGUAAGUAACUGUGCACAUCUUGACGGUACCUAAUCAGAAAGCCACGGCUAACUACGUG